CGGACGGGUGAGUAACGCGUGGGCAACCUGCCCUGCACUGGGGGACAACAGCCGGAAACGGCUGCUAAUACCGCAUAUGCCCGCAGCCCCGCAUGGGGCGGCGGGGGAAGCUCCGGCGGUGCAGGAUGGGCCCGCGUCUGAUUAGCUUGUUGGCGGGGCAACGGCCCACCAAGGCGACGAUCAGUAGCCGGCCUGAGAGGGUGGGCGGCCACAUUGGGACUGAGACACGGCCCAGACUCCUACGGGAGGCAGCAG
rnacentral:rRNA from 1 species